rnacentral:rRNA from 1 species
AGAAAUAGGUGCUAAUACCGCAUGAGCGCACAGCUCCGCAUGGGGCGGUGUGAAAAACUCCGGUGGUAUACGAUGGAUCCGCGUCUGAUUAGCUUGUUGGCGGGGUAGAGGCCCACCAAGGCGACGAUCAGUAGCCGGCCUGAGAGGGUGAACGGCCACAUUGGGACUGAGACACGGCCCAAACUCCUACGGGAGGCAGCAGUGGGGAAUAUUGCACAAUGGGGGAAACCCUGAUGCAGCGACGCCGCGUGAGUGAAGAAGUAUUUCGGUAUGUAAAGCUCUAUCAGCAGGAAAGAAAUGACGGUACCUGACCAAGAAGCCCCGGCUAACUACGUGCCAGCAGCCGCGGUAAUACGUAGGGGGCAAGCGUUAUCCGGAAUUACUGGGUGUAAAGGGAGCGUAGACGGUUAAGUAAGUCUGGAGUGAAAGGCCGGGGCCCAACCCCGGGACUGCUCUGGAAACUAUUUAACUUGAGUGCAGGAGAGGUAAGCGGAAUUCCUAGUGUAGCGGUGAAAUGCGUAGAUAUUAGGAGGAACACCAGUGGCGAAGGCGGCUUACUGGACUGUAACUGACGUUGAGGCUCGAAAGCGUGGGGAGCAAACAGGAUUAGAUACCCUGGUAGUCCACGCCGUAAACGAUGAUUACUAGGUGU